rnacentral:lncRNA from 1 species
CGGAUCUGUUUCAAUGAUGCUACAACAAUGAUUGGUUGGCUGUUUGUAAAGUCCUGCCCUACCUGAACAUCACUCAAGUAAUACUGCCUUCCUUUACCAAACUUAAGUUUCAGGUCUGACUCCUAGAAAUUAGGUACCCAAAUAUUUACAUUCUUUCCAGAGUUUUUUUUCCAGAAACCAGAUGCCCAAAUACGUGUGAUAUUUUCAACCUUUUAUUCAAAUACUCAUGUUUCCGAUGGUCUUCUCCAGCUCUUCUGUGAUGCCGAUGGAAACAGGCAAAUCUGCCCUCAGAAAGAGACACCCAGUGACAUUAGAGCCAGGCUGGUUAGAAAGCAAAGAUUGUCUGGAAAUGCUCCCCAAAGAACGAUUACAAAAAACUACAAAGACACUUCAGAUUCCACCCUGUCCCAGGCUGGUGUGGAACCAACCUUCCCUCAGAAGCACAACAAGCACUCCAGGAUACUAGGACCCUACUGGCCCAUACCAUGCAGUGGUUGCAGUAAUGGUAAUUUCUGCCGACCAUAAAAUGACACUGACACCUGAUCCUGUUGCUGCUGAAGUCACCCUAGCUUUGUUUCAGUAGUGGUAAAUCUAGAGAAGCUGGAUCUUCUUGGGAGAACGCUAUAUAACCACCACUGCUCCAUGCUAGGAUUGAGAAGCUCCAGGAAGUUCUGACUUCACUUUCAAGUCUAGAGAUCAUGCUGAGAAGUCCCAUAAAUGUUCACCACCAAAAGAAAACAAGUCAGUGAUGGAGUUGGACUACCAGCCUCCGCAGAGACUCCUUCCACCACCAUCUCCUUCUUGACAUAGGAACAAGUUGUUCUUCAGUCAAAACUAGCAGGGAGGAUCUGAUUCAACCUGGGCCACUUUUAGAUGUGACAUUGGAGGACCUUCUAAAACACUAUCCUCCUUGCAAUGUGCCCAGCUUGUAGUGGGAACAACUAGGGGCCUUCCUAAUCCUGAAGACCACACCCAGUCUCAGCUCCCUCUAUGCCUGUAACUUCAGAACCAUCUCUAACCUUUGAAAUAGACAUUGCCACUUUGAUUUCACGAGUUUUAGAAAUUUAGAAUUCUCUUAACUUUGGGGGCUGUGGAAUGCCUUUACGGCAGGUACUAAUGUUUACAAGAGCAGAUGGCUUGCUAGUUAACUGUAUGUGUCACACACGGGGCAAUGGCUUACUAGGAUAAUGCCUUACUGGUAAACAGCCACACGCAGGGCAAUUAAUGCACUGUUAACUAACAAAUGGAAUCUGCCAAAUAAGUAAAACAGGCUCUUAUUUGGGGCCAAACUUUUUCAGCAGAGUGAGAAUCCAACAGACAAAGCUUGCAAGGAGGA